GACGAACGCUGGCGGCGUGCUUAACACAUGCAAGUCGAACGGACAGGCCCUGCUUUUGUGGGGUGCUCGAGUGGCGAACGGGUGAGUAACACGUGAGUAACCUGCCCUUGACUUUGGGAUAACUUCAGGAAACUGGGGCUAAUACCGGAUAUGAGCUCCUGCUGCAUGGUGGGGGUUGGAAAGUUUCGGCGGUUGGGGAUGGACUCGCGGCUUAUCAGCUUGUUGGUGGGGUAGUGGCUUACCAAGGCUUUGACGGGUAGCCGGCCUGAGAGGGUGACCGGCCACAUGGGGACUGAGAGACGGCCCAGACUCCUAAGGGAGGCAGCAGGGGGGAAUAUUGCACAAUGGGCGGAAGCCUGAUGCAGAAACGCCGCGUGCGGGAUGACGGCCUUCGGGUGGUAAACCGCUGUCGACUGUGACGAAGCGUGAGUGACGGUAAUGGGUAAAGAAGCACCGGCUAACUACGUG
rnacentral:rRNA from 1 species